UAAAGAGCUCGUAGGCGGUUUGUCGCGUCUGCCGUGAAAGUCCGGGGCUUAACCCCGGAUCUGCGGUGGGUACGGGCAGACUAGAGUGCAGUAGGGGAGACUGGAAUUCCUGGUGUAGCGGUGAAAUGCGCAGAUAUCAGGAGGAACACCGAUGGCGAAGGCAGGUCUCUGGGCUGUAACUGACGCUGAGGAGCGAAAGCAUGGGGAGCGAACAGGAUUAGAUACCCUGGUAGUCCAUGCCGUAAACGUUGGGCACUAGGUGUGGGGGACAUUCCACGUUUUCCGCGCCGUAGCUAACGCAUUAAGUGCCCCGCCUGGGGAGUACGGCCGCAAGGCUAAAACUCAAAGGAAUUGACGGGGGCCCGCACAAGCGGCGGAGCAUGCGGAUUAAUUCGAUGCAACGCGAAGAACCUUACCAAGGCUUGACAUGAACCGGAAUGAUGCAGAGAUGUGUCAGCCACUUGUGGCCGGUUUACAGGUGGUGCAUGGUUGUCGUCAGCUCGUGUCGUGAGAUGUUGGGUUAAGUCCCGCAACGAGCGCAACCCUCGUUCCAUGUUGCCAGCGGGUUAUGCCGGGGACUCAUGGGAGACUGCCGGGGUCAACUCGGAGGAAGGUGGGGACGACGUCAAAUCAUCAUGCCCCUUAUGUCUUGGGCUUCACGCAUGCUACAAUGGCCGGUACAAAGGGUUGCGAUACUGUGAGGUGGAGCUAAUCCCAAAAAGCCGGUCUCAGUUCGGAUUGAGGUCUGCAACUCGACCUCAUGAAGUUGGAGUCG
rnacentral:rRNA from 1 species